rnacentral:rRNA from 1 species
CCCUUAGAUGUUCUGGGCUGCACGCGCGCUACACUGAUGCGCUCAACGAGUUUAUGACCUUGCCCGGAAGGGUUGGGUAAUCUUCUUAAAACGCAUCGUGAUGGGGAUAGAUUAUUGCAAUUAUUAAUCUUCAACGAGGAAUUCCUAGUAAGCGCGAGUCAUCAGCUCGUGCUGAUUACGUCCCUGCCCUUUGUACACACCGCCCGUCGCACCUACCGAUUGAAUGGUCCGGUGAAGCCUCGGGAUUGUGGCCAGUUCACUUUAUUGGGAGUUGGCUGCGAGAACUUGUCUAAACCUUAUCAUUUAGAGGAAGGUGAAGUCGUAACA